UCAUAAGUCACAAUUGGGCAUUCAGUAGCAGAAAAUUUAACUAGAGAAAAUCAAAACAAAAACAGUGAUUAAGUCUCAGGAAGGGACUAUCAUUCUUUUUAGAAAUGUAAUGGCCUCAAAGUAGUGUUUUUCUAGAUCUAAUUUUUUAAAAAGAUUUUAUUUUUUUAAUGGUGUAUAUGUGUGUGUGUGUGUGUGUGUGUGUCAGAGUAUGUCAGAGUGUGAGUUUCUAUCUGUGAGGGUAAUAGCAACAGAUGCCAGAAGAGGGCACUGGAUCCCCUAAAACUGGAAUUCUAGGUGACUAUGAGCCACCUGAUGUGGAUGCUGGGAACCAAACUCGGGUCCUUCAGAAGAGCAGUAAGUAGGCACUUUUGACCAGUGAGCCAUCUUUCCAGCCCCCAGCACCAUUGGGUUUUUUUGCUUUUUUUUUUUUUUUUUUUUUUUAAGUUAAGUUUUAGUUAGUUGUGUCUUUUGAGCAAUGAAGGCAUGCUGAUAGCACAGGUGCUAUGCUGAUAGAUAUAAGUGUGUUAUCCUUGUAUAGGAUAACUACAGGAUAAUUAAUGCCUUUAAGCUCUGAGGCUGAAGGUCCUAUAGCAAUAUAAGAUCCACCUUGAUUCCUUCCUUGUCCAUCAAGAAAGUUGAGUCACAUCUAAGAUACUCUUUGAUAUGGGUCUCUUCUCCUUAUGCUGGACCUGAGACUUCUUUUCACAUGUGGCAGGACUAUGUUGUGUCAUCUUCCUCUAAACCAGUGGUUAGUGUUCCUGAGAUUGAGGCUCAAGAGUCAAGGCAAGUAAUCAGAGGCAGAAAGAAACAAAAUAUAAUGGGCACAUUUACUUUUAAACUCAAGCAUAAUAAGAUAAAGAUGUAUCUUGAGUACUUCUGGGAACCUGUAUUGCUUCUUGUUGCUGCUUAAAGAUAGACUAGAACAAACAGGUGCAUGCAUAAGAGUGCUGUUCAAAGACGCGGUGCGGUGUCUGACCUGAUGCCUUCUGUGGUGGGAUGGGCUUUCAGCACUGUGUCCUGAGUCUUUGCAGCAGCAGCUACAGUGACUUGGGAUUACAACUGCUUAUUGAUAUGCUGCCUCUGAAGAACAGCUCCUACUGGCUGGUGAGGACCGAACUGCUGGACACUCUGGCAGAGAUUGACUUCAGGUAAGGGAGCCAAGUUACAAUUCAGAAGUUCAAAUUAAAAAUUGAAAGUCCUGAGGUCUCUGCAGUUGGCAUGGCUGUCAUGUGUACUGUCUGUUCAGCUCAUCUCCAGUUUAGUUAGAGAACAUGUGAUAGUCACAGUACUUUUUAUUGAACUCUGAACUUGGAGAUUUUGCUAUUUUAAAUGAGAUAAGUUUUUCUGGUUGUCCUGUUUUUCUAGAUGGUAGGAGU
rnacentral:lncRNA from 1 species